rnacentral:rRNA from 1 species
GACGUAGGGCGCGAGCGUUGUCCGGAUUUAUUGGGCGUAAAGAGCUCGUAGGCGGUCUGUCGCGUCGGAUGUGAAAACCCGAGGCUCAACCUCGGGCCUGCAGUCGAUACGGGCAAACUGGAGUGUUGCAGGGGAGACUGGAAUUCCUGGUGUAGCGGUGGAAUGCGCUGAUAUCAGGAGGAACACCGGUGGCGAAGGCGGUUCUCUGGGCAUUACCUGACGCUGAGGAGCGAAAGCAUGGGGAGCGAACAGG